rnacentral:rRNA from 1 species
GACAGAGGGUGCAAACGUUGUUCGGAAUCACUGGGCGUAAAGCGUGUGUAGGCGGCUUCUCAAGUCGGGUGUGAAAUCCCAGGGCUCAACCCUGGAAGUGCAUUCGAAACUGGGUAGCUAGAGUACUGGAGAGGAAGGUGGAAUGCUUGGUGUAGAGGUGAAAUUCGUAGAUAUCAAGCGGAACACCGGUGGCGAAGGCGGCCUUCUGGACAGAUACUGACGCUGAGGAGCGAAAGCAUGGGGAGCGAACAGG